rnacentral:rRNA from 1 species
GACGAACGCUGGCGGCGUGCCUAAUACAUGCAAGUAGAACGCUGAAGCUUGGUGCUUGCACCGAGCGGAUGAGUUGCGAACGGGUGAGUAACGCGUAGGUAACCUGCCUGGUAGCGGGGGAUAACUAUUGGAAACGAUAGCUAAUACCGCAUAAGAGUAGAUGUUGCAUGACAUUUGCUUAAAAGGUGCAAUUGCAUCACUACCAGAUGGACCUGCGUUGUAUUAGCUAGUUGGUGAGGUAACGGCUCACCAAGGCGACGAUACAUAGCCGACCUGAGAGGGUGAUCGGCCACACUGGGACUGAGACACGGCCCAGACUCCUACGGGAGGCAGCAGUAGGGAAUCUUCGGCAAUGGACGGAAGUCUGACCGAGCAACGCCGCGUGAGUGAAGAAGGUUUUCGGAUCGUAAAGCUCUGUUGUAAGAGAAGAACGAGUGUGAGAGUGGAAAGUUCACACUGUGACGGUAUCUUACCAGAAAGGAUGCUAACUAC